GUGACACUUCCUCUUCCUCUCUGUACACAAAGAAGUUUGGGGAAGCCCUUGGACAGGUGAGGAAAUGCUCUCUACGGAGCAGUCCCAUGCUUCCAACAAGGCAGAACAGAGUCGCACUGAUGCCUUGGGUUCCCAGAGUCCAGAUGCAGCAUCCGGUGAGGAAAAGUCCAUCGAUGAAGGAACCGAAAAGCAGCAGAAGCGAAAAAAGAAGAAACGCAAGAACAGGGAAGAAAUGUAUGACCUUCUGGACAGUCUUGGUUCCCCUGACUCAGAAGAGACUCCUUCCGAAAGCUCCAACCACGGCUGCCCCUCACCUCCUAAUAGGGACGAAGAGAUGUGGGAAAGCGAGAUCCAAGAAAGAGGGGGAGGACGCAUCAAGGCCAAGAAGAGUAAAAGCAGGAUGAAGCUACCAGAAGAAUGGAGUGCUCCUCCAACUGUAAUGGACAUGGACUUUAGCAGCCCUUAUUUGGGUGAUUCAAAACCCCCACCCAGUGCUAGCAUAGAUCAGGGAAGUGCACAGCCCUCACUCACACCUGAACCUCUGCACCUCACGGACACCCAAGCAUGCAGACCCCAACCGCCCGGGCAAGCAAACACCUCCUUAUUCGCGAAUCCCGUAGAUGACUCAACUCUCAUGAUUAACAGGGAUAUGUUAGAUAAGGAUAAAUCAACUAAAGACAAUAUCAAUAAGUCUAACCUAGAGUUGCCUGGUAUUCACCCUUCAGAUCAGUUACCCAAGGACCCAAAUGAUCCUGACCAGAAGUCAACCCUUGCCCUUAGUCCAACUCAGACUGUUAUGUUCCUUGACUCCGUGCUGCAGGCACAGACCCCAGAUGCAAGCCCCCCAUCCCAGAGCACCCCCGUGAAAACCCCCAUCCCUCACAACUCUGCCCCAGAGGCUGCUCCUGAUCUGACCACUGGCCCACUGUCCGUCGGCACAGACAUCCCUGCUUGUCAGAGUGCACCAGCUGUUAGUCACUCUUCCCCAAAAAUUACCCCCAGCACUGCAGUGAACUUAAACCCUGAGGCUACGCCUUUCAUCUCUUCACAAACAGAGCAGCAGAAGCCCCCGUCAGCACAGCCCCCCCUACUGGAAGGUUGGUGAUAAUGAAGACUGUAUGGAGAUGAUUUACAUAAUGCAUGGCUCAAUGAAGUGGGCCCUCCUCUGCUUAGCUAUCUCUGUAGCAGAAAUUACUGUAGCAAGGCACUAAGUACU
rnacentral:lncRNA from 1 species